GACGAACGCUGGCGGCGUGCUUAACACAUGCCAGUCGAACGGAAAGGCCCUGCUUUUGUGGGGUGCUCGAGUGGCGAACGGGUGAGUAACACGUGAGUAACCUGCCCUUGACUUUGGGAUAACUUCAGGAAACUGGGGCUAAUACCGGAUAGGAGCUCCUGCUGCAUGGUGGUGGUUGGAAAGUUUCGGCGGUUGGGGAUGGACGGGCGGCUUAUCAGCUUGUUGGUGGGGUAGUGGCUGACCAAGGCUUUGACGGGUAGCCGGCCUGAGAGCGUGACCGGGGACAAGAGGCCUGAGGUAGGGAGCAGAAGGGAACGGGAGGCAGCGGGGGGGAAUAUGGCAGAGCGGGGGGGAGUGAGAGAUGGAGGUGUUGCGAGCGGGAAGAUGGGUUACGGGGGGAAAACAGAUGUGGAAGGAGAUGAGGAGAGAGUGACGGUAAUUGGUAAAGAAGCAACGGCUAACUACGUG
rnacentral:rRNA from 1 species